GACGAACCGUGCGAACGUUAUUCGGAAUCACUGGGCUUAAAGCGCGUGUAGGUGGGACGGCACGUCGGUCGCUGAAAGCCCCCGGCUCAACCGGGGAACGGGCGCCGAUACGACCGUCCUGGAGGGACGUAGGGGGAGCUGGAACUUCCGGUGGAGCGGUGAAAUGCGUUGAGAUCGGAAGGAACGCCCGUGGCGAAAGCGAGCUCCUGGACGUUUUCUGACACUGAGACGCGAAAAGUGUGGGUAGCAAACAGGG
rnacentral:rRNA from 1 species